rnacentral:rRNA from 1 species
CGAACUGGCGGCGCGUCUUAAGCAUGCAAGUCGAACGGUAAGAAGGCUUGCUUUCCUAGAGUGGCGGACUGGUGAGUAACGCGUGGAUGCGUACCCUUUUGACGGGGUAGCCGAUAGAAAUAUCAGUAAUACCGGAUAAUCUCUUUGGGGUAAAGCGAAAGAGGAAAGCAGCUUCGGCUGCGCAGGAGGAUGGUCCGCGUCCUAUCGCUAUCGGCAGGGUAAAGGCCUCCGAGCGACGACGGGUCCGGCCUGAGAGGGUGGACGGACACAUUGGGACUGAGUACGGCCCGACUCCUACGGGAGGCAGCAGCUAAGAUAUCCGCAUGGACGAAAGUCUGACGGACGACCCGCGUGACGAUGAAGGCCGGAAGGUUUAAAGUCCUUUACCGUGAAGAGAAGCGUAAGAGGAAAUGCUUGCGUGGUGACGGUAGCGGAUGAAUAUACACCGGCUAA